CGCCGCGGUAAUACGUAGGGUGCGAGCGUUGUCCGGAAUUAUUGGGCGUAAAGAGCUUGUAGGCGGUUUGUCGCGUCUGCAGUGAAAAUCCGAGGCUCAACCUCGGACUUGCUGUGGGUACGGGCAGACUAGAGUAUGGUAGGGGAGACCGGAAUUCCUGGUGUAGCGGUGGAAUGCGCAGAUAUCAGGAGGAACACCGAUGGCGAAGGCAGGUCUCUGGGCCAUAACUGACGCUGAGAAGCGAAAGCAUGGGGAGCGAACAGGAUUAGAUACCCUGGUAGUCCAUGCCGUAAACGUUGGGCGCUAGGUGUGGGGCUCAUUCCACGAGCUCCGUGCCGCAGCUAACGCAUUAAGCGCCCCGCCUGGGGAGUACGGCCGCAAGGCUAAAACUCAAAGGAAUUGACGGGGGCCCGCACAAGCGGCGGAGCAUGCGGAUUAAUUCGAUGCAACGCGAAGAACCUUACCAAGGCUUGACAUAUACCGGAAACAUCCAGAGAUGGGUGCCCCGCAAGGUCGGUAUACAGGUGGUGCAUGGCC
rnacentral:rRNA from 1 species